rnacentral:tmRNA from 1 species
GGGGAUGUCACGGUUUCGACCAGGAGCGUGGUGGUAGAGGUUGCGAGCCGGGAGUGUCGUCCGAUCCCGUAAAAUCCGAUGGCAAUUGAUAAGUGCGAAAACCUUUGCACUUCCCUCGGUUGGUGGCCGUCAGGCCGCUGCCCUCGCUGCCUAACCCGCACGAGUGAAGGGACACUCACGUACCCCCGCCGGUCGGGUUCGUGGGUCACUUUGACCGGCUGCUCGCGGCGAACGCUAACUAAGCCGCGCUAAGACUCGUUAGCUAGUCUUUUGGGAGCUGCGCCGAGGAGGGUCCCAGAGGGCGAAACCGAUUCCCAGGCUACGCUCGUAGAUGCCUCUAUGGCUGCCUUUUGGGACGUGGGUUCAAUUCCCACCAUCUCCAC